GCUAUGAGAUGGUCUCAUCAAUGUGCAACAAUUGAACUGGAUUUCCAACUUCCUGAGAGAUUCAACCUCACGCUAGCUAUUGUAGGUUCAGUUGAAAAAAUGAUUGCUAUUCUUGCUGAAAGCUUUGGUGGAAAAUGGAUUUUAUGGCUUUCUCCCCAUCAAGUUGUAGUAAUUCCUGUCAGUAGUAAAUAUGAUGAUUAUGCCGAACCGGUAAAUUUAAUUUGAUUCAAAAGAAGUUCCAUGCAGCUGGUUAUCGUGUUGAUACAGACUUGGAUCACGGAUCAACACUAAAUAAGAAAGUUCGCAAUGCACAACUUUCACAGUACAACUUCAUUCUUGUUGUUGGUGAAAAGAGACGGUCUCAGACACGGUCAACGUCAGAACACGUGACAACAAAGUACUCGGUGAAAAAUCGGUCAUGGCCGUGAUCGAACGCUUGCGAGAUUUAGUCAGCUCACGAAGUCUGACAAGCGAA